UACGUAGGUGGCAAGCGUUGUCCGGAUUUACUGGGUAUAAAGGGAGCGCAGGCGGGAUUGCAAGUCAGCGGCGAAAUGCAUGGGCCUAACCCAUGAACUGCCGUUGAAACUGUAAUUCUUGAGUGAAGUAGAGGCAAGCGGAAUUCCGAGUGUAGCGGUGAAAUGCGUAGAUAUUCGGAGGAACACCAGUGGCGAAGGCGGCUUGCUGGGCUUUUACUGACGCUGAGGCUCGAAAGUGUGGGUAGCAAAC
rnacentral:rRNA from 1 species